rnacentral:pre_miRNA from 1 species
UUUUUAGUAUAAGUAUGUUCCGUGCAAUAUUUGUGACAUACUUAUACAAAAA